GUCAACGACAUUACUCAAGUAUUGACAACAAAUGUGCUCUACGAUGACAUUUCCAGCAUGUCCAACUCAUCAGCAUCAGGGGAGAUUCGGUGAAGGUGGUGCACCAUCCAGGACCAGUCAUGGGCCACCAACACCUCUGCAAAAUCUACACUUCUUGUGAACCCUGUAGAAGACACUACAACCACAAAACUGCUAAUAAACCAUCACAUACUGCAUCA